GGGAAUCUUUCUGGUACAUUUUUGAAAGAUUAAGGUCUAGGAAGAGAAGUUCAGAGUCAAACAAUCUUUUCCAGAGGAACCUCACCAGUUCUAAGAGUUUAUGCACGUGUAUACAGUCACGUGACCACCACUGCAAUCACGAUAAAGAACAUCUCUGUUAUCUCUGAUGAUCCGCUGAUGCCGGCCUGGAGUCAGGCAGCCCUCCAUCCUCCCCAGCCACCAGCCCUGGCGCCUCCUGAUGGGAUUCCUGUCCCAGCACUUCCACUGUUUCCAGAACAUCAGUGGCUCCCUCUAAUAUACGUUCAAGAGGACUUAUUGAAGCAUACUUUGAAAGGGCAAGAAGAAAGAAAGAAAGAAAAGAAAAAAUUGAUCCAAAUCUUCAUCAGUCUCUGUUCCAGGAUCCCUCAUCAGAGAAGCCUUCCGCAACCACGCUGAUUAAAGCCCUUCCCCACUCAGGCCUACCCAGAACUUGGCCUAUGCCCAUC